UGAAUUAAAAAUUCAGGUAGUCCAGUGCCUAAGUGCAGUGAGUUGCUUGCAAGUCACCGUGGCGGUCUCAGGUCGGAGGGACAUUUAUACCCAUAUCCCAUCGGAGCAAAUCUUGACAGCAGAAAUAGCUCCGGAGUUGAUCACGUUCAGUGCAAAUGUACCAUUAUAUCUCAUCUGUAUGUCAUAGGAGUGUCUCCACACUCUUUGGUUAUGAGGACAACCAACCCAUAUGGCACACAACGACCUAUGCUCGAUAAACGUUGUCGUCCUUGGUAACAACGUAUCAUUUGGUCGCGAACAUGUUUAAGGACUAAGCGAUAAAUCCUCCUUUGUCGAGUCUAAAUAGUCCUAAGGACUUCAC
rnacentral:lncRNA from 1 species